rnacentral:rRNA from 1 species
GAUGAACGCUAGCUACAGGCUUAACACAUGCAAGUCGCGGGGCAGCAUGGGGAUUGCUUGCAAUCCCCGAUGGCGACCGGCGCACGGGUGAGUAACGCGUAUUCAACCUGCCCUUCACCACGGGAUAACCCGGCGAAAGUCGGACUAAUACCGUAUGUUGUCCAUUGACGGCAUCCGAUUUGGACGAAAGGCUUGGCGGUGAGGGGUGGGGAUGCGUCCGAUUAGCCAGACGGCGGGGUAACGGCCCACCGUGGCUACGAUCGGUAGGGGUUCUGAGAGGAAGGUCCCCCACACUGGAACUGAGACACGGUCCAGACUCCUACGGGAGGCAGCAGUGAGGAAUAUUGGUCAAUGGGCGUAAGCCUGAACCAGCCAAGUAGCGUGCAGGAUGACGGCCCUAUGGGUUGUAAACUGCUUUUAUGCGGGGAUAAAGUGGCCCACGUGUGGGCUUUUGCAGGUACCGCAUGAAUAAGGACCGGCUAAUUCCGUG